rnacentral:rRNA from 1 species
GUGGGGAAUAUUGGACAAUGGGCGAAAGCCUGAUCCAGCCAUGCCGCGUGUGUGAAGAAGGUCUUCGGAUUGUAAAGCACUUUAAGUUGGGAGGAAGGGCAGUAAGUUAAUACCUUGCUGUUUUGACGUUACCGACAGAAUAAGCACCGGCUAACUUCGUGCCAGCAGCCGCGGUAAUACGAAGGGUGCAAGCGUUAAUCGGAAUUACUGGGCGUAAAGCGCGCGUAGGUGGUUUUGUAAGUUGGAGGUGAAAUCCCCGGGCUCAACCUGGGAACUGCCUCCAAAACUGCAUGACUAGAGUACGGUAGAGGGUAGUGGAAUUUCCUGUGUAGCGGUGAAAUGCGUAGAUAUAGGAAGGAACACCAGUGGCGAAGGCGACUACCUGACUGAUACUGACACUGAGGUGCGAAAGCGUGGGGAGCAAACAGGAUUAGAAACCCUGGUAGUCC